rnacentral:snoRNA from 1 species
UUUUAUGAUGAUUUAACAAAAACAAAGCUGGAAUUACUGGCUGAAAAUAUAGUGUUGAUAAGUUUUUGCAAAACUCUGAUU